AUGUCCAUCAAAUACUUGGGUCAAUUGGUGCCUGUUCUUUGUUGCCCUCAGUGUGUUUUAGUUAUGAUUUUGCACCUUAUUGUGUUUGAUAAUCUAGGUAGAUUGAUUAUGCUCCUCGGUCAUGGUAUGUCUGACUGUAGGUGCUUCAUGGUUUAUAGAUUAAUGCCUCUAGAAAUAACGAACUUGUUGAGUGAAUUUGGAUCAGUAAAUGUGACUGAUGAACAAAGACCGCAAAGAAAGUAUGAUAUUUGUCGUCUUAUCAAUCCAUGUCAUGUAUUUAUGAACAUGUGUCAUGUGGGGCCAGCCCUAUAG
rnacentral:rRNA from 1 species